rnacentral:misc_RNA from 1 species
CGGAUGUGGAUUGCUGAAGGCUUUUUGUCUCAAGCAUUGAUACGGGGAGGAGAUGAAGCAAUGGAAGAUAUGGGUGAACAAUAUUUGGAAGAGCUUGUGAAUAGGUGCAUGGUUCAAGUGAGCCAUAGGGAUUACACUGGAAUGGGUAUCAAAACAUGUCACAUGCAUGAUCUGAUGAGAGACAUGUGUGUAUUGAUGGCAGGAAAGGAGAAUUUUCUUGGGAUUUCUGAGCGCUACCAAGAGACUAUUGUCGCACGCAGAAUUGCUCUUCAUCCCAAAAUAUGCCCAGAUUCUGAUCAAUCACAUUCCAUAACCUUGCUUCCAAGCAAUUCACGCCAUCGUUCUUUUUUCUACUUCCUCAAAGAGCAAAGGUAUGACAUGAAGUUUGACCAUAGAAGUCUUAACUUUGAUGAAUGCAGACUGCUCAGAGUAUUGAAUCUUUGGGGUCUAAAUGUUGAGUAUAUACCCAAUGAAAUUGGUGACCUGAUUCAUUUGAGGCAUCUUGGGUUAAGAUAUACGAAGGUAUCCAUGCAGGCAGCAUUGCCAACCUCCAUAGGUAACUUGAGGAGUUUAUACACCCUUGAUGUACGAAAUAAUCAGUCACUAAGAUUGCCUGAUGUAGUGUGGAAGUUAAAAUAUUUGAGACAUUUGUUGGUGGACUUGCUUAAGAUUCAGGAGUAUUGUCGAAUGGAUACCUUAAGAAACCUAGAGACUUUGAAGUGGGCUUAUCCUGCUAGUCUAAUAAGGGCAAAUGCAAUGUACAAAUUGACUAAUCUUCGAAAUUUAGCAAUAGGUUUCAACAGAUGGGAGGAAAUUGAUUCGGUUAUGAAAUCUCCAAUUUUUUC